GGGGGUAUAGCUCAGUGGUAGAGCACGUGCUUAGCAUGCACGAGGCCCUGGGUUCGAUUCCCAGUACCUCCA
rnacentral:tRNA from 2 species